UACGUAGGGGGCAAGCGUUGUCCGGAUUUAUUGGGCGUAAAGAGCGUGUAGGCGGCCUGACAGGUCUGCUGUGAAAACUCGAGGCUCAACCUCGAGAUGUCGACGGAAACCGUCUGGCUAGAGUCCGGAAGAGGAGAGUGGAAUUCCUGGUGUAGCGGUGAAAUGCGCAGAUAUCAGGAAGAACACCUAUGGCGAAGGCAGCUCUCUGGGACGGUACUGACGCUGAGACGCGAAAGCGUGGGGAGCGAACAGG
rnacentral:rRNA from 1 species